CACGUAGUUAGCCGGGGCUUCUUAGUCAGGUACCGUCAUUUUCGUCCCCUGCGACAGAACUUUACAACCCGAAGGCCGUCUUCAUUCACGCGGCAUCGCUGCAUCAGGGUUUCCCCCAUUGUGCAAUAUCCCCCACUGCUGCCUCCCGUAGGAGUCUGGGCCGUGUCUCAGUCCCAAUGUGGCCGUUCAACCUCUCAGUCCGGCUACCGAUUGUCGGUUUGGUGGGCCGUUACCCCGCCAACUGCCUAAUCGGACGCGAGCCCAUCUUUCAGCGGAUUGCUCCUUUGAUAUCAGUGCCAUGCGACUCCGAUAUUUUAUGCGGUAUUAGCGUUCGUUUCCAAACGUUAUCCCCCUCUGAAAGGCAGGUUGCUCACGUGUUACUCACCCGUCCGCCACUAAGUUCAGAUGCAAGCAUCUUCACUCCGUUCGACUUGCAUGUGUUAGGCGUGCCGCCAGCGUGUCCUCGAGCCAGAGUCAAACUACU
rnacentral:rRNA from 1 species